UUUUCAAAAAAGUCCUAAAAUAAUGGUAGUCCUAACGGAAUAUUAAGUUAACACGUCUCACUGUAUCCAUCUCCUUUCCUGAAUAAAAUUUUCUCAUUUCCAGAAUUCUCUGCACUGCGCCUCUCUACCAAGCAUAACGACAACGUUUCUCUCUUUCACUGCAUAUAUAUCAUCGUAUUCUUUUGCUUCUCUUCUGAGAUCCUGCUAAAUAAGGAUCUGUCACGCCGACGCACUAAAUUACUGAUGUUCAAGCUUCUUAUUGUGAAGGCUUGGUAUUAAUUUUUUUUUUUCUUUUCUUUGCAUGAAAAUAUGGACUUUGAAUAUCAGGAGGUGUAUAUAAAGAAUUCAAGAGGAGUGCAGCUCUUCACUUGUAGAUGGUUGCCUGCUUCAUCUUCUCCAAAAGCUCUUGUUUUCCUCUGCCAUGGGUAUGGCAUGGAGUGCAGUGUUUACAUGAAAGAAUGUGGAAUCAGGCUAGCACGUGCAAGAUACGCUGUGUUUGGAAUUGACUAUGAAGGCCAUGGACGGUCCUCUGGUUCUCGUUGUUACAUCAAGAAAUUUGAAAAUAUUGUCAAUGAUUGCAAUGAAUUUUUCAAGUCAGUCUGUGAGAAAGAUUACAGUGACAAGGGCAGGUUCCUGUAUGGAGAGUCUAUGGGAGGGGCAGUGGCCUUGUUACUGCACAAGAAGGAGCCCUCCUUCUAUAAUGGUGCUGUUCUUGUUGCCCCUAUGUGUAAGAUAUCAGAGAAAUUGAAACCGCAUCCAGUGGUGGUUAAUAUAUUGACGAGUUUUGAAGAGAUUAUUCCAAAAUGGAAGAUAGUCCCAACUAAAGAUGUAAUUAAUGCAGCUUUCAAAGAUCCUGUCAAGCGAGAAGAGAUAAGGAACAACAAUCUGAUAUACCAGGACAAGCCUAGGCUGAAAACUGCCCUUGAAAUGCUCAGAACUAGCAUGAGCCUGGAACAGAGUUUAAAUCAGGUUAGACUACCAUUCCUUGUGCUGCACGGUGAUGCAGAUACAGUGACAGACCCAGAAAUAAGCAAGGCCUUGUACGAGCAAGCCAGCAGCAAAGACAAAACCAUGAAACUGUACUCUGGAAUGUGGCAUGGGUUGACAGCAGGGGAGACCAAUGAGAAUGUGGAUAUCGUAUUUGCAGAUAUCAUAGACUGGCUUGACAAGCACACCCACGAUCUUAUCCCUGAACUCAUUAUUGAACCCUUCAACAAUGGCAUAGAAAGACUUGAUGAGUUUCCUACAGCAGUGAGUAGCAAGCAGAGCCAGAGAAAACAAUCCUAUGGUAUUUACCUCUGCGGAUUCAGGGAACCGCGCACGCUCCACUCUGCCAUGUAGCUUUUAGCUUAGCUCACUGUCUGUCCUCGCAAUGGCUUGUUGCAUAUAUCCAUUACUAUUAGCAGUCCUGCAAAUGUUAAAAAUAUUUGUAUUUAUAAAGGAAAUGAAAUAAUAAGCAAUGCUUUUGUUUGAUUAGGCUGAUCAUGAAUAGUAAG
rnacentral:misc_RNA from 1 species